GCCGACAUAGCUCAAUGGUAGAGCAAUGGUAUCGUAAACCAUAGGUUGUGGGUUCAAGUCCCUCUGUCGGCUCAA
rnacentral:tRNA from 1 species